UGUACCUUUAAAAACAGUCCAGAGAGGCUGGCAAGGUAGUCGAUGAGAAAAGACGGGAUAUACUGAGUCGCGAAUUCAGUGUAUGACAAAGCUUGGGGAUGUGCGCAUCCUUAUGCCCCGCUCUGUAUCUUUACGCACUCGUAACUCCUUGCCAAUAAAUGGCAAGGAGUUUUUUGGU
rfam:Paenibacillus sp. Soil787 contig_2, whole genome shotgun sequence.